GCCCGGCAUGGUGGCGCAUGCCUGUAAUCCCAGCUACUCGGGAGGCUGAGGCAGGAUAAUUGCUUGAACCCGGGAGGCUGAGGUUGCAGUGAGCUGAGAUCGCACCACUGCACUCCAGCCUGGGUGACAAAGGGAGACUCUGUCUCAA
rnacentral:SRP_RNA from 1 species